GAUCAAAUCAAGCGCGAAAAGGGCGUUUGGUGAAUGCCUUGGCAGUAAGAGGCGAUGAAAGACGUGAUACUCUGCGAUAAGCCAUGAGGAGCUGAGAAUAAGCUUUGAUCCAUGGAUUUCUGAAUGGGGCAACCCACCUGAUACUGUGUUAUUGUUGCCGCUUCGGCGGCAGUCAAUAAUGCGGUAAAACAGGUAUUUUUAACCUGAAUACAUAGGGUUAAAAAGGCAAACCCGGGGAACUGAAACAUCUAAGUACCCGGAGGAAAGGAAAUCAAUAUGAUACUCCCCUAGUAGCGGCGAGCGAACGGGGACCAGCCGAGCCAUGAGUGUGACUAGAAUGCGUUGGAAUGCGCAACCAGAGUGGGUGAUAGUCCCGUAUAGGAAGCAUGAUUGGACGUAUUAAGUAGGGCGGAACACGUGAAAUUCUGUCUGAAGAUCGGAGGACCACCUUCGAAGGCUAAGUACUCCUUACUGACCGAUAGUGAACCAGUACCGUGAGGGAAAGGUGAAAAGCACCCCGACGAGGGGAGUGAAACAGUACCUGAAACCGAACGCCUACAAUCAGUUGGAGGGCCCUUGCGGCCUGACAGCGUACCUUUUGUAUAAUGGGUCAUCGACUUGGUCUCACGAGCAAGCUUAAGCCGUUAGGUGUAGGCGCAGCGAAAGCGAGUCUUAAUAGGGCGUUGAGUUCGUGGGAUCAGACCCGAAACCGAGUGAUCUAGGCAUGACCAGGAUGAAGGUAAGGUAACACUUACUGGAGGUCCGAACCCACACCUGUUGAAAAAGGUCGGGAUGAGUUGUGCCUAGGGGUGAAAGGCCAAUCAAACUCGGAGAUAGCUGGUUCUCUGCGAAAUCUAUUUAGGUAGAGCGUCAUCCGAAUACCCUCGGGGGUAGAGCAC
rnacentral:rRNA from 1 species